rnacentral:snRNA from 1 species
UGUGAGGGCAAUAUGGCUGCGAAAUCUGUCACCCCAUUGAUCACAAGGGUUGAUUCCACUGAUCUGGCUGGCUAGGAGGUGUCGGGCCUUAAAACCAGCACACC